CCCAAAACUGGAGGUGAAAGUAGAAGUGUCGAACAAGGGGGCAGGCCAUACCCGUUAUACUACAACGACAGGAGACGGCCUUCUGGUCCAACUGCUUGCUUUGGCGAUUGCAGUAGCCGUUGUUUGCGUGGUGCUACUUAUCGAAGUCUCCUACAAAUGGUUCAUCAUCUGGAGGAUUGAAGCGUACGCGGCGAACAUGCCGAACUAGGUGGCCCUGCCCUUGAAUAUUUUCUGCUUUUCGUUAUUCGCACUGUAGUUCAAAAAUCUUUUGAUGAAACUUGCGCUUCAAAGUUGAAGCACGUUUAACUG